rnacentral:misc_RNA from 1 species
GGGGAGGGAUCAUUACAAGUGACCCCGGUCUAACCACCCCCAACUUCAUAACCCUGAAUGUCUAACUCUGUUGCCUCCGGGGGAACCCCCUCGGGGGCGGGGGCUCGGGGGUGGACACUUCAAACUGCCUGAGAGUGAUGCAGUCUGAGUAAAAAUAUUUAAUAAGUCAAAACUUUCAACAACGGAUCUCUUGGUUCCGGCA